ACGGCCAUACCAUGCUGAAAAUACCGUUUCUCGUUCGAUCACCGAAGUCAAGCAUCCUUCGGCGCGGUCAAUACUUGGGUGGGUGACCACCUGGGAGAACA
rnacentral:rRNA from 1 species